GGGUGGAUUAGUGGCGAACGGGUGAGUAACACGUGAGUAACCUGCCCUUGACUCUGGGAUAAGCCUGGGAAACUGGGUCUAAUACCGGAUAUGACCUUCCAUCGCAUGGUGGUUGGUGGAAAGCUUUUGUGGUUUUGGAUGGACUCGCGGCCUAUCAGCUUGUUGGUGGGGUAAUGGCCUACCAAGGCGACGACGGGUAGCCGGCCUGAGAGGGUGACCGGCCACACUGGGACUGAGACACGGCCCAGACUCCUACGGGAGGCAGCAGUGGGGAAUAUUGCACAAUGGGCGCAAGCCUGAUGCAGCGACGCCGCGUGAGGGAUGACGGCCUUCGGGUUGUAAACCUCUUUCAGUAGGGAAGAAGCGAAAGUGACGGUACCUGCAGAAGAAGCGCCGGCUAACUACGUGCCAGCAGCCGCGGUAAUACGUAGGGCGCAAGCGUUAUCCGGAAUUAUUGGGCGUAAAGAGCUCGUAGGCGGUUUGUCGCGUCUGCCGUGAAAGUCCGGGGCUCAACUCCGGAUCUGCGGUGGGUACGGGCAGACUAGAGUGAUGUAGGGGAGACUGGAAUUCCUGGUGUAGCGGUGAAAUGCGCAGAUAUCAGGAGGAACACCGAUGGCGAAGGCAGGUCUCUGGGCAUUAACUGACGCUGAGGAGCGAAAGCAUGGGGAGCGAACAGGAUUAGAUACCCUGGUAGUCCAUGCCGUAAACGUUGGGCACUAGGUGUGGGGGACAUUCCACGUUUUCCGCGCCGUAGCUAACGCAUUAAGUGCCCCGCCUGGGGAGUACGGCCGCAAGGCUAAAACUCAAAGGAAUUGACGGGGGCCCGCACAAGCGGCGGAGCAUGCGGAUUAAUUCGAUGCAACGCGAAGAACCUUACCAAGGCUUGACAUGGACCGGACCGCCGCAGAAAUGUGGUUUCCCCUUUGGGGCCGGUUUACAGGUGGUGCAUGGUUGUCGUCAGCUCGUGUCGUGAGAUGUUGGGUUAAGUCCCGCAACGAGCGCAACCCUCGUUCUAUGUUGCCAGCGGUUCGGCCGGGGACUCAUAGGAGACUGCCGGGGUCAACUCGGAGGAAGGUGGGGACGACGUCAAAUCAUCAUGCCCCUUAUGUCUUGGGCUUCACGCAUGCUACAAUGGCCGGUACAAAGGGUUGCGAUACUGUGAGGUGGAGCUAAUCCCAAAAAGCCGGUCUCAGUUCGGAUUGGGGUCUGCAACUCGACCCCAUGAAGUCGGAGUCGCUAGUAAUCGCAGAUCAGCAACGCUGCGGUGAAUACGUUCCCGGGCCUUGUACACACCGCCCGUCAAGUCACGAAAGUUGGUAACACCCGA
rnacentral:rRNA from 1 species